rnacentral:lncRNA from 1 species
CGGGGGGAAAGGUGUCUUCAGAAGGCUGCAGACAUGCCUCGUGUCUCACUCCAACAGUGGGCUGCUCUUUGUUGCAGGAGCCUCCUGACAAGGAGUGGGCUAAGGCUUCCAGGACGGCCGGGGAGCUCCCUGCAACGUUUGAGGACUUGGCCGUGUGUUUCAGUCGGGAGGAGUGGAGCCUGCUGGACAAGCAGCAGAAGGAGCUCUACAGGGAUGGGAUGCAGAUGAGCUAUGAGCUGCUGGCUUCCCUGGAGCCUCCUGCUGCCAAACCAGACUUGAUCACAAAACUGGAACAGAGA